ACAACAACUCCACAACUUGCAGCCAUUAUAUAUAUAAAAGAAGUACUACUGCCCCCUGAUUGGUGGUCACGAUGAUGAUCAAGUAAUAGUAAUCUUUGCCUCAACAGUCAGUCAACCAACAACAUUUUCAAGUUGAUAUUUAAAAAUUUAAGCUCAAAACAUGCUGCUGCUAUAACAUUAUAAACAAAUAUGCUGAACUGUUGAAGUGCUCAACAAUUAAAGCCUACAAGGGUUCCAAGAAGCAACCACAGAGAGCAAACAUUCAAACAAACAACCACAAAGAGCAAACAUUCAAACACAUCAGAUAGGUGGUCUAUUGGAAACAAAUUAGUUGUUGCCUCUUAUCUAACCCAUAGAAAACAAGUCGGCAUAAAUUAUUUGUUAGACAUCAAUCAUACAGAUUACAAUCUGACAACAAUUUGUUGCUCAUUUCUAUUCAGGCUUUUGCAAGGGCCUAACAAGGCGCAAAGCUGCAAGUCGAUAAGCUUCAUCUCAAAAGCCUAGGCCACCUAAGUUUAUCCAGAUUGCUUAUUAAUUUCCUUAUGUUCAUCCAGAUUCAGAGUCAAUCAUGGGAACAAGAUGAAUCUCUAACCCUAGGCCACCUAAGUUUAGAGGUCAUGAGCUCAAAUUCAAUUCAAUUACUUUCUGAAGCAUAAAAAUACUCAAUCUCUUAUUACAACUCAAUCAAUAUUUUCAAUAAAAUACAAAUAAAAUCUCUAAAACUGUAAGUAGAACAGAAAAUUAAACGUGAGAGUGUGAGUGAGACUAUUAGACUAACCUUUUGCUGUGAUUGAGAGUGAGAAUUCGUCGGUAGGAAUGAGAGACACAGAGAGAGAGAGG
rnacentral:lncRNA from 1 species